rnacentral:rRNA from 1 species
GGUGGCUAAUACCGGAUGUGCCGAGAGGUGAAAGGUUAACUGCCUGGAGAGGAGCUCGCGUCUGAUUAGCUAGAUGGUGGGGUAAAAGCCUACCAAGGCGCCGAUCAGUAGCUGGUCUGAGAGGAUGAUCAGCCACACUGGGACUGAGACACGGCCCAGACUCCUACGGGAGGCAGCCGUGGGGAAUUUUCCGCAAUGGGCGAAAGCCUGACGGAUCAAUAGCGCGUGAGGGAGGAAGGCUCUUGGGUUGUAAACCUCUUUUCUCAGGGAAUAAAAAAAUGAAGGUACCUGAGGAAUAAGCAUCGGCUAACUCCGUGCCAGCAGCCGCGGUAAUACGGACGAUGCAAGCGUUAUUCGGAAUGAUUGGGCGUAAAGCGUCCGCAUGUGGCUAUGUAACUCUGCUGUUAUAGAGCAAGGCUCAA